CAGCCGCCGCGGGAAUACGAAGGGGGCUAGCGUUGUUCGGAAUCACUGGGCGUAAAGGGUGCGUAGGCGGGCGACUCAGUCAGGGGUGAAAUCCCGAGGCUCAACCUCGGAACUGCCUUUGAUACUGGUUGUCUUGAGUCCGGAAGAGGUGAGUGGAACUGCGAGUGUAGAGGUGAAAUUCGUAGAUAUUCGCAAGAACACCGGUGGCGAAGGCGGCUCACUGGUCCGGAACUGACGCUGAGGCACGACAGCGUGGGGAGCAAACAGGAUUAGAUACCCCCGUAGUCCCUGUCUCUUAUAC
rnacentral:rRNA from 1 species